rnacentral:rRNA from 1 species
UACGGGAGGCAGCAGUAGGGAAUUUUCGGCAAUGGGCGAAAGCCUGACCGAGCAACGCCGCGUGAGUGAAGACGGCCUUCGGGUUGUAAAGCUCUGUUGUAAGGGAAGAACGGUACGGAGAGAAUCCGUAAAUGACGGUACCUUACCAGAAAGCCACGGCUAACUACGUGCCAGCAGCCGCGGUAAU